UCGACGGCAGCACGGGAGCAAUCCUGGUGGCGAGUGGCGAACGGGUGAGUAAUGUAUCGGAACGUACCUUUCAGUGGGGGAUAACGUAGCGAAAGUUACGCUAAUACCGCAUAUUCUGUGAGCAGGAAAGCAGGGGAUCGCAAGACCUUGCGCUGAUUGAGCGGCCGAUAUCAGAUUAGCUAGUUGGUGAGGUAAAGGCUCACCAAGGCGACGAUCUGUAGCGGGUCUGAGAGGAUGAUCCGCCACACUGGAACUGAGACACGGUCCAGACUCCUACGGGAGGCAGCAGUGGGGAAUUUUGGACAAUGGGGGCAACCCUGAUCCAGCCAUGCCGCGUGAGUGAAGAAGGCCUUCGGGUUGUAAAGCUCUUUCAGCCGGGAAGAAAUCACAUGGGUUAAUACCCUGUGUGGAUGACGGUACCGGAAUAAGAAGCACCGGCUAACUACGUGCCAGCAGCCGCGGUAAUACGUAGGGUGCGAGCGUUAAUCGGAAUUACUGGGCGUAAAGCGUGCGCAGGCGGUUUGUUAAGAUAGGCGUGAAAUCCCCGGGCUCAACCUGGGAACUGCGUUUAUGACUGGCAGGCUAGAGUAUGGCAGAGGGGGGUGGAAUUCCACGUGUAGCAGUGAAAUGCGUAGAGAUGUGGAGGAACACCGAUGGCGAAGGCAGCCCCCUGGGCCAAUACUGACGCUCAUGCACGAAAGCGUGGGUAGCAAACAGGAUUAGAUACCCUGGUAGUCCACGCCCUAAACGAUGUCAACUAGGUGUUGGGUGGGUAAAACCAUUUAGUACC
rnacentral:rRNA from 1 species